rnacentral:sRNA from 1 species
GCCUGGCAGGGUGGCGCAUGCCUGCAAUCCCAGUGACUCAGGAGGCCGAGGCGGGAGGAUCAUGAGUUUGAGGCCAGCCUUAGAAACUUUGCAAGACCCUGUCUCAA